AAUCUGCAAUUAUUAUAUUUUAUUUCAGUUUGGUCUUAACUAUUUAAAUUUUUAUUAAUUUUGAAAGAAUAAACUAUGUCAAUUCCAAUAGAGCCUAUCUGCUCAUAUAAAUCACGGUCACGAUCCAUUAAUUUGCCAUCGAUCAAUCAUGACACUGAUUUUUCAAAGUUUAUGUAAAAGACUAGUAUUAUAUCUGACUCAACGUCAGAAAUGUCAAAUGCUCCAAAUAAAUUGAUAUGUAUUACUGUGCGGGGAUAAGAUAGUGGUGUGCGUGGAGGAUAAAAUUAA
rnacentral:lncRNA from 1 species